GAGGGUGUAGCUCAGUGGUAGAGCGAGUGCCUAGUGUGCACGAGGUCCUGGGUUCAAUCCCCAAGACCUCCA
rfam:Camelus ferus unplaced genomic scaffold scaffold2192, whole genome shotgun sequence.